rnacentral:misc_RNA from 1 species
AGGAAAAAAUAAAAUUAUCAUCUUCAG